CGGCGGCAGCCGGAGCGAGGGAGCCCGCGGCGCCGUGACGGGUCGCUCCUCCGACCCACGCGCGGCCGCCGGCCGGCCGUCCGCACGCCUCCCCGCCGAGCCUCCUCUUGUCCCGGACCCCUUGUCCCGGACGAUUCCCGCAACCCGAUCCCACCACCCCGAGCGUGCCGCCGCGUGCCGCCGUCCCCAGCCCACCCGCAGCGCGCCGCCCACGCAGGCGCGCGUCGCUAUUCCCAUCCCUAUCUCCGCGCACCGCCACCCCUAGCCGGACCCGACCCAAUCACAUCGCCAUGGAGUGGUGUCUCCAUCUCCCGACGACGGAGCAGCACCUCCCCGACAGCGCGCCUACCACCGACGAUGAGGAACUCUGCCCCAAGCCUCCUCCCCCCUCCUCACGUCCGGAUGGGCAAGAUCCAGCUGGCGCUGAAGCCUAUCCCACCGGCGCAGCUCCCCGUCGCCAUUGCGCUGCUCCUUCCCCGCGUGUCUCCAGUUCCCCUCGCUGCUCGGAUUGGUGUGCCGUGGUGCCGCCACCCAGGUCAAUUUCAUUCCUUCAGCCCUGCAUCUCCUUGAUGGCUCGUUGGAUCACUUCUACAUAAUCAGUUCUUUGACAUGUGUGUUGCACGGAAGGUGUUUGCAGUAAUGCUUGAGCACAACACCAGCCGUCGCCGCGGUCACUUCGUCCCUGAACUGCCAUGCGCCGCCUGCGGCCUCGCUUCUUCCCCUGUCUUCUGCCCGGGCGAACCCCUUUUUCUCCUCCCAGGCACAGCUGCAACCUCCUUCUCAGUCCAAAUUGAGCGCUGUUUGUCGUACAAGUUGAAUCCCGGCUACAGUCUUCGCCAAAGAAGCCAUCAUCCCUGUUCUGAACUACCAACAGCCUCUGCUAAUGUGCACAAAAUUCAAGUUCAAUAACACAAAAAAUGGAAGGUCAGAUAUGGCACCAAGAUAAGUUAGAAAAAAUGGUUUCAACAUAAUGCAAUUUGGAGGAACGACAGCGCCCAGGCCAUUCACAGCUGCCACCCUAGUCUGUUCACCACCGCCAACCGAGGCCGUUCAAUGACGCUCCGGGCAAAGGUUCGUUUGCCCAUUGAUUCAUUCAAAAAAUAAAAAAGUUGGGAAGCUCACGGGGACACUCUAUAAAAAGUGUUCAAUAUAGAAGUUUAAAUAAUUUUUUUCUGCUACUGAAACCAAUUAUUUGACAGGGAGUUCAAACUUUCUUUACAUGAAAGUGCACAUCCUAUUUCCCACUCUUUUCUAUUUUUGGUCCCACAAACAUUUCAAAUAAAAUGUUUCAUCGAGAAGUUCACACUCUUCCAACUCAAACAUUCAGGCGUUCUUUUCCGUAAAGUUCAUAUUUUUUUAAACCACCACAUUUGGGGUAUUCUUCAGUUAAAUUUUGUAAAAAGAAAAAACAUACUAAACAACAAGGACAGUUCAACAAACAAUACCUGUAGUAGGUCAUCAGUAUGCAUCCAUUAGAAAAAAAAUCAAGUUAUGAUGUUAGUCUUGGCAUUGAUCUUUUCAGAAUAUCAAGUAAAUAAGCAACUUCGACAUGCCAAUGGGACCUUUUUAGUAAGUGCUUUGACUACGACUGAUGGUAGUUGGUAUUUUGUGACGUUGCGCUCAGCGGCAGGAGGGCGAGGAUCUCUUCAUCUCGGCAGUACAACUGCACCCUCCGACGCCGUUCACGAGAAGAGCUACGUGCAGGCCACCCGUGCUCCACCCUGGAUUUUUUCAAUAAUCAGGCCAUCGUCGUCAGGGUUCCUGCCCCACGGCAGUCGUAUUGGCUCAUGCACCACUGUCAUCGGUCCUUUUUCGGUUGGAGAUAGGUAGCGCCCCUAGGAAGCCCCUUCUUCAGUGGUUCAUUGGUCUGUCAAGUAUGAAGGUGAGCUUCAUAAUAGAGUAGCUAGACCUAUCUGCCUUCCAUUUUACAAAUUUUGCUGGGAGCUAGAAGUAACUAUAUGUAGAAAGUUGGCAUCUCUGUUUACAUAAACAUGCAUAACACGUGUGAUGCUACAUAAUUCCUGGGUCCUCCUCCUGUUAUGCACAAGCUCCAAUUCGUCGAGAUACUCUAUGGAGGUACUCCAUUUUAUGUUUUCAAUUCAUCUUACAAAAAAGCAGAACAAACUAUGUGUCAUUUUUGUCAUUCACGCAAGUUCAGGCAUACCUUCUGCAAAAGUUCAAAAAUCUGAAGAAACAAAGCUCAAACCAAGUUCAGAAACUGUUUUUGGAUUAAAUUAGUUGUUUUGCUUAAUUAUGUGGUAUAUGUGUGUAUUGUGAUUGUAAUUGUGGCUUGGAGUUGAGAAAAAGAUAACAAAAAGGUACAUAAAUGAACCCAAAAACAUUCGGUAGUUUCUGGAAGCCCAAAGUUGUUCAACAUGUUUUCUACCAUCAGCUCGUUAAGAACCCCAGAAACGGUUCAAUGUGUGUGUUAAAAAAAAUAGCUGGCUAUAUAAAAAAAUUUAGUAGCUAGGCAAAAAGAAGUUUGUAUCAGUUCAGACUUGCCUGCACAGAAGGAUAGAGGCCCUUGUCCCAUACGUUCAGGUUUGCAUCAAUGCUCCAGCCAACUCCAUUAUCUACUCAGUAAAUGCUCCACUGCUAAAUCCAUUUGAAGUUUUGUCAGGUUUGGUAACUCCUCUCCCUUUCCCUUUUCAUGUAAUGCAUUUAGGACAAGUUCAAGUAUAGGUAAAGAAGAUUCUCACCACAUAAAUAUUGAUCUAGAGCUCUUCAGUUUGACAGUUUUUCAGUUCGUGUGGAGCUUGUCAGUUCGACAACUUUUCAUUUUGUGUGGAGCUAGUCAUUGUUUUAGGUUGCGUCUGGCUGUACCAAAUGCUUGCACUUCUCUGAACUGAGAGUACGCUUGAGUUUCCUGUUCCUUCUAAUCUUAAUAGGUUAUCUUGAUAGGAGUCUAGUGUUAUUUACUAAAUUCUAGUCAGAGUAGUGUAAUCAAAGGAAUGUAGAUAACUUGUGUCCAGGUAUGACUUGUACAAUUGCGUUGUUGUGCUACACACUUGUACUCACAUAUUAUUAUGCUGCGAUACUAGUUCUGAACAUUUUGUUAUGUAUGUCACAUGAAGGUUUCUCCCCAUUCUUCUCGUCUUCAUACUAUGCCUUUCAUACCUUUUUAUAUAAAAAAGCUCAGUCUGAAACUACAGAUUUGCCCAGAGCCUUGACCUAGGACAUUCUGAAUAAAACUUCAAAGAAGUCUGAAAUGCACUUUAGUAUAUAAAGCCUUGUUCAUCAUUGUAUUCUGAUACUAGAAUCUAGAGUAAGAAAUCAAGUUUGUAAUAUGUAGGCACAAGAACAUGACUCCCUACUUGAAAUGAGUACUCUUUUGUUUCAGCUAAUACUUCUUACUCUGAAUUCCAAAAGUGGAUGCACUUAAGUACAACUUAGUAGACUACUAGUAGUACAUCAGUAUGUAAGGACGAUGUAAUUACCACAACCUCAAUGAUUAUAGUAUUUGGGAUGCUCAUCAUUUUUCACAUCCAUCUCUACUGAAUUAUGUUAGUCUUUUUCAGUUCAUCUUUGAAAUUUCGGUCCAUUUUCUUUUUGCAGGAUGCGUCAAAUACUAAAAUAAAAGGCAGCAGCUCAAAUAGAUGAAUAUUGGAAGUCCAUUGCUAUCUUGAGGUCCACAUAGCCGGCAUUUUCAGUUCAUCUUGCAAGUGAUGGGGCUCCCCUUCAGUUCAUCCUGCAGGUGUUUUGGGCAGUACAAAAUACAUCACCAUAGUUAGUACAUCAAGGAUGGCUUGGUAGUCGCUGGGAUUCCCUGCAGUGGCCAAAUCGCCUCCAUCAGCUCCACCUCGCCGUAGCAAUCAGUCCAGAGGAGGAGGUGUAGCUGGUCCACCCGGUCCACCCAAUUUUUCUUUCAACAUUUUCUUUGUGAUGCAUGCUCACUGAUGGAUCAAUAACUAUUUAUUGAUAUGGAGAUGGCCCCCUGUUUUUUUCUGGAAAAACAAGAUGCCUUUGCAUACUUCAAAGUUGCUGCUUGCUCCCACCAGUCAAUUGCAAGUUCAGUGGGUGUCGUCGAGCAUGUUCAGAAGUAUGCCCUUUGUGCAAAAGUGUGAAUUUUUUUUCAGUAUUUUGUAUAUUUCAUUUGGCAGAGGCUUCAUGUGAUCUUGUAGAGCUUUAUAGAUGUACUGUCAUUACACUUUUAAGGCCCUAUAGUUCAUUAUAU
rnacentral:rRNA from 1 species